UACGGGGGGGGCAAGCGUUGUUCGGAAUUACUGGGCGUAAAGGGUUCGUAGGUGGCCCGCUAAGUCAGACGUGAAAUCCCUCAGCUCAACUGGGGAACUGCGUCUGAGACUGGCGGGCUUGAGUGCAGGAGAGGAACGCGGAAUUCCAGGUGUAGCGGUGAAAUGCGUAGAUAUCUGGAGGAACACCGGUGGCGAAGGCGGCAUCCUGGGCCGGUAUUGACGCUGAGGAGCGAAAGCCAGGGGAGCAAACGGG
rnacentral:rRNA from 1 species